rnacentral:lncRNA from 1 species
CUCUCUUUUUUGAAGAUUGAUAGGAAGGAAAGCACCUAAGGAAGAUCAGAGGAGAAGGCCGAUGCCAGUGAUAAUAGAGAGGAAGGCGAUGGUGGAGAUCGAUGGGAGAUGGCGGUGAGGAGAGUAGGGAGGAGGUCGACCUCUCUUUUUCUAAGAUCUAUGGGAUGGAAAGCACCUAGAGGGAGAUUUGAGGGGGAAAGCCCAACAUCGGUGAGGAUGGGGAAGAAGGCGAUGAUAGAGAUUGGCAGAAGAUGGCAACGAGGUUUUCUUUUUCAAAGAUCUAUGGGAAGGAAAGCAUCUAAGG